UACGGGGGGGGCAAGCGUUGUUCGGAAUUACUGGGCGUAAAGGGCGCGUAGGCGGCCCUCUAAGUCGGACGUGAAAUCCCUCGGCUUAACCGAGGAACUGCGUCCGAUACUGAAAGGCUUGAAUCCGGGAGAGGGAUGUGGAAUUCCAGGUGUAGCGGUGAAAUGCGUAGAUAUCAGGAGGAACACCGGUGGCGAAGGCGGCUGCCUGGACAGAAACUGACGCUGAACGGCGAAAGCUAGGGGAGCAAACGGG
rnacentral:rRNA from 1 species